AAAAAAAAGUCAUAUUGCAAGAGAGGACACAUCCAUUGGCUGCCAAUUCUAGACCUCUGGACCUGAUGAUGGGACAAGUUGCAGGAAUGGUCUGUUCUGUACAUGAUGCUGGGUUUUAUGGUAUCAAGGCACAGGCUUAGGACAAGCCCAUGAAAAAGGCCCACAAAAUGUCCUGAGGAGGGAGAAGACCGGGAAGUAAAAAGGAGCAAAAGGCUGUUGACCGACCAACAUCUUGAGAAGUCAUUCAUCAAGGGCGACUUGAUUUUGAGUUGUGUUUGUUCAGGAACUUUUCAGGAAUCAGUACUUUCAGGGUUGUAGCUUCUGCAAGGUGGUCAAGCAAUUUUGUUACGCUAUUCUUGGAAAUGAAUCAAUUAAGGCUCC